rnacentral:tRNA from 5 species
UGGAGAGUUUGGCCUACUGGUGUAGCCCUAAGACUUCAAAUCUUGUGGUGGGGUAGUUGACUAUUCUGCGGGGGGUUCGAUUCCUUCACUCUCUAGCCA